AGCAGUCGCCGCGGUAACACGUAGGUGGCAAGCGUUGUCCGGAAUUAUUGGGCGUAAAGGGCUCGCAGGCGGUUUCUUAAGUCUGAUGUGAAAGCCCCCGGCUCAACCGGGGAGGGUCAUUGGAAACUGGGAAACUUGAGUGCAGAAGGGGAGAGUGGAAUUCCACGUGUAGCGGUGAAAUGCGUAGAGAUGUGGAGGAACACCAGUGGCGAAGGCGACUCUCUGGUCUGUAACUGACGCUGAGGAGCGAAAGCGUGGGGAGCGAACAGGAUUAGAUACCCGGUAGUCCCUGUCUCUUAUACC
rnacentral:rRNA from 1 species